rnacentral:rRNA from 1 species
UCAACCGCAAAAGAAGCAGAGGGGGCUUAGUGGUGGGGUGACUGCGUACCUUUUGUAUAAUGGGUCAGCGACUUAUAUUCUGUAGCAAGGUUAACCGUAUAGGGGAGCCGGAGGGAAACCGAGUCUUAAUUGGGCGUUAAGUUGCAGGGUAUAGACCCGAAACCCGGUGAUCUAGCCAUGGGCAGGUUGAAGGUUGGGUAACACUAACUGGAGGACCGAACCGACUAAUGUUGAAAAAUUAGCGGAUGACCUGUGGCUGGGGGUGAAAGGCCAAUCAAACCGGGAGAUAGCUGGUUCUCCCCGAAAGCUAUUUAGGUAGCGCCUCGUGAAUUCAUCUCCGGGGGUAGAGCACUGUUUCGGCUAGGGGGCCAUCCCGGCUUACCAACCCGAUGCAAACUGCGAAUACCGGAGAAUGUUAUCACGGGAGACACACGGCGGGUGCUAACGUCCGUCGUGAAGAGGGAAACAACCCAGACCGCCAGCUAAGGUCCCAAAGUCAUGGUUAAGUGGGAAACGAUGUGGGAAGGCCCAGACAGCCAGGAUGUUGGCUUAGAAGCAGCCAUCAUUUAAAGAAAGCGUAAUAGCUCACUGGUCGAGUCGGCCUGCGCGGAAGAUGUAACGGGGCUAAACCAUGCACCGAAGCUGCGGCAGCGACGCUGAUGCGUUGUUGGGUAGGGGAGCGUUCUGUAAGCCUGCGAAGGUGGCCUGUGAGGGUUGCUGGAGGUAUCAGAAGUGCGAAUGCUGACAUAAGUAACGAUAAAGCGGGUGAAAAGCCCGCUCGCCGGAAGACCAAGGGUUCCUGUCCAACGUUAAUCGGGGCA